rnacentral:rRNA from 1 species
UCGAGAAUUUUUCACAAUGGGCGAAAGCCUGAUGGAGCGACGCCGCGUGGGGGAUGAAUGGCUUCGGCCCGUAAACCCCUGUCAUUUGCGAUCAAACCUUAUUAUUUAAAAGAUGAUAAGCUGAUAGUAGCGAAAGAGGAAGGGACGGCUAACUCUGUGCCAGCAGCCGCGGUAAUACAGAGGUCCCAAGCGUUGUUCGGAUUCACUGGGCGUAAAGGGUGCGUAGGUGGCGAGGUAAGUCGGAUGUGAAAGCUCGGAGCUCAACUCCGAAAUGGCAUUGGAAACUACCUUGCUCGAGGGUUGGAGGGGGGACUGGAAUACUUGGUGUAGCAGUGAAAUGCGUAGAUAUCAAGUAGAACACCAGUGGCGAAGGCGAGUCCCUGGACAACUCCUGACACGGAGGCACGAAAGCUAGGGGAGCAAACAGG